CAGUAGCCGCGGGAAUACGAAGGGGGCUAGCGUUGUUCGGAAUCACUGGGCGUAAAGCGCACGUAGGCGGAUUUUUAAGUCAGGGGUGAAAUCCCGAGGCUCAACCUCGGAACUGCCUUUGAUACUGGGAAUCUCGAGUCCGGGAGAGGUGAGCGGAACUGCGAGUGUAGAGGUGAGAUUCGUAGACAUUCGCAAGAACACCAGUGGCGAAGGCGGCUCACUGGCCCGGUACUGACGCUGGGGUGCGAAAGCGUGGGGAGCAAACAGGAUUAGAGACCCCUGUAGUCCCUGUCUCUUAUAC
rnacentral:rRNA from 1 species